rnacentral:tRNA from 1 species
GGGGAUAUGGCUAAGUUGGUAAAGUGUUUGCCUUGCAUGCACAAGGCUCUGGGUUCAAAACCCAGCCCCCCCC